rnacentral:lncRNA from 1 species
GUGGUUUAUAAUGAAUUUUAAAAAGAAUACAAAAUUUAAAUCAUAUAUUGUUGCCAUUAGUUUUGUUAGUGUAAAUCAGCAUAUUGAUCCUGAUGAUUCGUAUAAAUGUGUCGAAAUUAUAACAAUAGCUUUUUACUUCAAUUCAUACGGUGAUACUUCCAAAAAAGAAAACCCGUUUUAUUCAUUGGACAGGGAUUCAUUACUGUGCACUUACUGACGAUUGUAUUAAGCUGUUUCCAUACUAUAUAAUAAACACAUUAUAAUGUUAACAGACUGUCUGUACAAACAGAAUGUAAUAAUGUUGUAAAAUUUAAAAAAAAACAUGAUUUUAAACAAUAUAAGAGUGACAAAAGAACGCAUGUCAUGCAGAAUGUUUCAUAAUUUAUUAAAACAAAUUUGUGGUUU